rnacentral:rRNA from 1 species
AACGAACGCUGGCGGCAUGCCUAACACAUGCAAGUCGAACGAGACCUUCGGGUCUAGUGGCGCACGGGUGCGUAACGCGUGGGAACCUGCCCUUAGGUUCGGAAUAACUCCCCGAAAGGGGUGCUAAUACCGGAUAAUGUCUUCGGACCAAAGAUUUAUCGCCUUUGGAUGGGGCCGCGUUGGAUUAGCUGGUUGGUAGGGUAAAAGCCUACCAAGGCGAGGAUCCAUAGCUGGUCUGGGAUGAUGAUCAGCCACACUGGGACUGAGACACGGCCCAGACUCCUACGGGGGGCAGCAGUGGAGAAUAUUAGACAAUGGGCCAAAGCCUGAUCCAGCAAUGCCGCGUAAGUGAUGAAGCCGUUAGGGUUGUAAAGCUCUUUUACCCGAGAUGAUAGUGACAGUACCGGGAGAAUAAGCACCGGCUAACUCCGUG